UCCUGCUCGAGAUCUUUCAAUUCAAGUAUUGGAGAAAUUCUCUCGUGUGACUAGAUUUUCUGGGAAAGUCAUAGUGAUAUUUUUGGCACUAAUGAGAGGAGGACCCAUAACCUGACUCCUCACGAUUACCCUAGCAACGUGGCAUCCAUUAUGUAGAAAAGGUUGCUGAACAAAUUCCUGUAACCAAAGAUCCUUUGGAGAAAACACUGUAUUGGAAAAGAAAUGAUGAAGCAGAAGCUGCCACCAAUGUGGGAACUUUUGAGCUAAUCAAUUUUAAGGAGCUGCCUAUACGACAAUGGACUCAAGAUUAUAAAGAAUUUCUUGAAUCAAUUAUGACAGGAAAUGAUAAAAUCAAGGACCCAUUUAUCAAGGAUUACAGAGAGCACAACGAUGACACCACCGUACACUUUGAAGUUAUUAUGUCCGAGGAGAACUUGAUCAUGGCAAAGCAAGAGGGCUUGCUAAAGAAAUUUAAACUCACGACAACUAUUAAC